rnacentral:rRNA from 1 species
AAUCAACGCUGGCGGCGUGCCUAACACAUGCAAGUCGAGCGAGAGGGAGUAGCAAUACUCUAGUAAAGCGGCGCACGGGUGAGUAACACGUGGGUAAUCUGCCUCGAAGUGGGGAAUAACACCGGGAAACCGGUGCUAAUACCGCAUAAUCUGACGGGAUCUGCGGAUUUUGUCAGCAAAGGAGCAAUUCGCUUUGAGAGGAGCCCGCGGCUGAUUAGCUAGUUGGUGAGGUAAUGGCUCACCAAGGCCACGAUCAGUAGCCGGUCUGAGAAGACGGUCGGCCACACUGGAACUGAGACACGGUCCAGACUCCUACGGGAGGCAGCAGUGGGGAAUUUUUCGCAAUGGGGGCAACCCUGACGAAGCAACGCCGCGUGGAUGAUGAAGUCUCUUGGGACGUAAAAUCCUUUCGACGGGGACGAAACCGCAAGGUUGACGGUACCCGUAGAAGAAGCCCCGGCUAACUCCGUGCCAGCCGCCGCGGUAAAAC